rnacentral:rRNA from 1 species
CUGGCGGCAGGCCUAACACAUGCAAGUCGAGCGGUAACAGAAAGUAGCUUGCUACUUUGCUGACGAGCGGCGGACGGGUGAGUAAUGCUUGGGAACAUGCCUUGAGGUGGGGGACAACAGUUGGAAACGACUGCUAAUACCGCAUAAUGUCUACGGACCAAAGGGGGCUUCGGCUCUCGCCUUUAGAUUGGCCCAAGUGGGAUUAGCUAGUUGGUGAGGUAAUGGCUCACCAAGGCAACGAUCCCUAGCUGGUUUGAGAGGAUGAUCAGCCACACUGGAACUGAGACACGGUCCAGACUCCUACGGGAGGCAGCAGUGGGGAAUAUUGCACAAUGGGCGCAAGCCUGAUGCAGCCAUGCCGCGUGUGUGAAGAAGGCCUUCGGGUUGUAAAGCACUUUCAGUCAGGAGGAAAGGUUAGUAGUUAAUACCUGCUAGCUGUGACGUUACUGACAGAAGAAGCACCGGCUAACUCCGUGCCAGCAGCCGCGGUAAUAC